UUAUGGGGAGAAUUCCUCUCUUUACA
rnacentral:tRNA from 1 species